AUGGCCAGCAGAAGUAACGGGCUUUAUGGAGACACCCCAAUGGCGGCAUUGCCUCUCCAUAAUACACUCAUCCUAGCUGUGCUCACUGAUGGCACCAGUGCAUUCUUCCUUGUGGCUGCAUAUUACUCUGCUGUUUCAGUCUCGGCAGGAGGGACUUCAGCUCUGAACUGCACUUAUGAGAACAGUGCAUUUGACUACUUCCCAUGGUACCGGCAAUUCCCUGGUGAAGGCCCUGCACUUCUGAUAGCUAUACGUUCUGGGUUGAAUAUAAAGGAAGAUGGAAGAUUCACAGUCUUCUUCAGUGAAGGCACGAAACAGCUCUCCUUGCACAUCACAGAUUCUCAUCCUGCAGACUCAGCCACCUACUUCCGUGCAGCACAGUGUUCUCCAGGCACCUGCAGCCCAUACCCAAACCUGUAG